rnacentral:rRNA from 1 species
ACUCAAAUGAAUUGACGGGGGCCCGCACAAGCGGAGGAACAUGUGGUUUAAUUCGAUGAUACGCGAGGAACCUUACCUGGGUUUGAACGUAGAAGGACAGGUGCUGAAAGGUGCUCUCUCUUCGGAGUCUUCUACGAGGUGCUGCAUGGUUGUCGUCAGCUCGUGCCGUGAGGUGUCGGAUUAAGUUCCAUAACGAGCGCAACCCUUAUCAUUAGUUGCCAGCGGGUCAUGCCGGGGACUCUAAUGAAACUGCCGGUGUAAACCGUGAGGAAGGUGGGGAUGACGUCAAAUCAGCACGGCCCUUACAUCCAGGGCUACACACGUGUUACAAUGGCCGGUACAGAGGGCAGCUACUCCGCGAGGGGAUGCUAAUCUCGAAAGCCGGUCUCAGUUCGGAUUGGAGUCUGCAACUCGACUCCAUGAAGCUGGAUUCGCUAGUAAUCGCGCAUCAGCCAUGGCGCGGUGAAUACGUUCCCGGGCCUUGCACACACCGCCCGU